rnacentral:rRNA from 1 species
AUUGAACGCUGGCGGCAGGCCUAACACAUGCAAGUCGAGCGGUAGAGAGGUGCUUGCACCUCUUGAGAGCGGCGGACGGGUGAGUAAUGCCUAGGAAUCUGCCUGGUAGUGGGGGAUAACGUCCGGAAACGGACGCUAAUACCGCAUACGUCCUACGGGAGAAAGCAGGGGACCUUCGGGCCUUGCGCUAUCAGAUGAGCCUAGGUCGGAUUAGCUAGUUGGUGAGGUAAUGGCUCACCAAGGCGACGAUCCGUAACUGGUCUGAGAGGAUGAUCAGUCACACUGGAACUGAGACACGGUCCAGACUCGUACGGGAGGCAGCGGUGGGGAAUAUUGGACAAUGGGCGAAAGCCUGAUCCAGCCAUGCCGCGUGUGUGAAGAAGGUCUUCGGAUUGUAAAGCACUUUAAGUUGGGAGGAAGGGUACUUACCUAAUACGUGAGUAUUUUGACGUUACCGACAGAAUAAGCACCGGCUAACUCUGUGCCAGCAGCCGCAGUAACAC